UAAAAGAUUGAAAAAAAAAAAGGUUACAUAUAAAGACCAGUUUAAAGACUUGUUGAGUACUAACUUUAACAUCCAAAUUUCUGAGAAGCAAUACUUCCAUUGGCACUGUUGGACAUAUUCCAUCUUAAUACCAUUUACUCACUAAUAACAGAGUAAACAGUAGUUACAUUAGAAAAUACAUUACACUGAAGACAGACGCAAACAAAACCACAGAGAAAAACAAAACAGUGAAACGUCCCAUAUUUUUACUAUUGUCAAACGUCUUUGAUGGCCAGUAACCACAUCAAGAAGACUCCAAUAAACUAAAAAAUUAAGCUAAGGUAAGAAUCCGGGCUCAUGAUGGCUCCUCUAAUUGUAGUAUCAGGAAAAAGCCAAGACACCCUCCUAUGUCAUGUUUAUUUUCAUACGGUGAAUUGACUGUGGUCUCAAUUGGAGUGACUUCAGUCUUCGCGAAGCUGCAUACAUUUGGGUGACUGAGCUAUAAACCACUUAAGCGUUCAUUCACAGAUAGAUGAAUUAUGUAAUAGAGAACAGCAUUUCCGGUAAGGUAACAGGAAGUCCUUUUACUCUGAACUGCACCCGUCCCACUGACUAAGAAGCAUUCUCAUUUUUCUAAGCUUACAAAUCCGGAUACUUUAAGCCCCGUGAAGAUGCUGUGCGACUUAAAUGUCUAAAAUGCUUUGAAAUCCUGCGAUGAAGAGUCGCAGCACUGCAAAGUGCGAUAAUGAGGCCUUCUAUUUAUUUUUAGUCAGUGUACACUCAGGUGUUUGGCUGGGACCCAUGGCUUCUUCCUGAAGCGUGUAGAGAACAUCUGGGUUACCUGCCUACAGAACAAUGCACCCAAACACAGACCCACGCCACCUCCGGGUCGACAGGCGAGGGAGGAAGCCGGGAGAAGCUCCGCAGCCGCGGCUCCCAGGAAACAUCCCUAAGCUUCCCCAAGCAGCCAGCGGGGGCGGCCUCGACCCCUCCACCAGGCCCCAAAUCAGUCCCGAUGCGGCCGGGGCGCCGACGUCCGCGGCGUGGUCAACUCCUCUCCUGGGGCUGGGAUGCGCUGGGCGCCUUGGUCCAACCUGUUUUUCCAGGGUGGUGACCUCCGCACGAGGAAGGCCGGGCAGGCAGCUGCCUCCCGGGAGCGCCCGGCCUCCGGCACUCGCCGGGGGAGGGAGGAAGGAAGCGUUUUCGUAGUGUUUGCGCAGAGACUAUGGAAAUGAUAUUAGACAAAAAGGAAAUCUGAACGGUUUUCUUGAGUUCAAAAUGGAUCACAAAGCAGCAGAGACAACUUGCAGCAUCAACAACACAUUUGGCCCAGGAACUGCUAGUGAAUGUACAGUGCAGCAUGACUCAAGAAGUUUUGCAAAGGAGAUGAGAGUCUGGAAGGUGAGGAGCAUAGUGGCUGGUCACUGGAAGUUGAUAACAACCAAUUGAGAGCCAUUAUCAAAGCUGAUCCUCUUACAACUACAUGAGAAGUUGCCCAAGAACUCAAUGUUGACCAUUCUAUGGUUGUUUGGGAUUUGAAGCUAAUUGGAAAGGUGAAAAAGCUCAAUAAGUGGGAGCCUCAUGAGCUGACCACAAAGGAAAAAAAAGUCCUUUUCCAGAGUCAUCUUCUCAUAUUCUAUGCAACAACAAUAAACCAUUCCAUGAGACGAAACGAAGAUUUUAUAUGACAACUGUUGAUGACCAGCUCAGUGGUUGGACCAAAAGAAGCUCCAAACCACAUCUCAAAGUCAAACUUGUACCAAAAAAAAGGUCAUGGUUUGGUGGUCUGCUACCUGUCUGAUCCUCUACAGCUUCCUGAAUCCCAGGGAAACCAUUACAUCUGAGAAGUAUGCUCAGCAAAUCGAUGCACUGAUAAAUGUAAUAACAGCAACUGGUAUUGGACAACAGAAAGUGCCCAGUUCUUCUCCAAGACCACAACUGACCACACGGUGCACAACCAACGCUUUGAAAGUUGAAUGAAUUGGGCUCUGAAGUUUUGCCUCAUCUGCCCUAGUCACCUGACCUCUCACCAACUGACUCACUUCUUCAAGCUUCUCGACACGUUUUUUCACGGAAAAUGCUUCCACAACCAGCAGGAGGCAGAAAAUGCUUCCUAAGAGUUCAUCGAAUCCCGAAACACAGAUUUUUAUGCUACAGAAAUAAACUUAUUUCUCCUUGGCAAAAAUGUGAUGGUUGUAUUUUGAUUAAUUAAGAUGUGUUGAGCCUAGUUAUAAUGAUUUAAAUUCAGGGCCUGAAACCAUCAUUAUUUUAUGGUUUGGUACCAUAAAUUACUUUUAUGGUACAGGGAUGGUACCUAAUACCAUCACACAGCUUCAACAAUUAACCCUGAAAAUGUUUCAAGCAGGAAAGUGAUAUGAUUAACUUUAUAUUCAAACCCACCAGCCAACCAGCCCUCUGGCUACUGUGGAGAAGGAGUUGGAGGGAACAAAGUGGACAUGGAGAGACCAGUUGGGAGGCCACUGCAGUAGUCCAGGAGGGACAGUGUCAUGGUGAGGUGAGGAUAAACCAAGGGCAGUGGACAGAUUCUGGAGGAAUGAAUAUGUCAGUGUCAGCUUCCCCCAGAAGCAGACCCCGAGACAAGGAUUUCAGCUCAAGCAGUUUAUUUGGGGUCAGGAAAUACAAACAGGUGAAUGGGGAGGAGAGACAUGGAAGGAAGGAGGGAAGGCAGCCAGUGUCUUCUCAAGCCAGCUACCUUUUUAGCAGGACCAGUGUGCAAUUUGCAGGGCUGGUGCAAAUGAAACUGUGAGGCCUUGUGAUCAUAAAUUAUUGAGAAAUUCAGAAUGAAAACAGCAGAGUGUUUAGCCAAGCUCAGGCCCUUUAGACAAUGGAGUCCCAUGCACAUCGCAAGUCGGUGAAGCCCAUCCUGCCUUUGGGCAACUGGAGCUUAAUCCUGCAGGAAGCUGGGUGAAAUGAGAUAAAACACACAGCUCAGAAGAAUCAGAGCGCCAUCAGUCAAUGGCCAAAGGCUGCUCCGGAGUGUUCCACCUUCCUGGCGUUUCCAGCCUGCCCUGCCUAGAAGAAUGGAUUCCCCUGGCUUCUUCAUGUAGAUCCUGGAGGUUGGAAGUAUGCCAGCGUCAUUACGACAUGGUCUGUUCUUAGGGACACAGGUUGGACAAGGAUAACUCCAAAAGGACACAGAUGACUUUCAGGUUUCUGGCUUAGGCAUUGGAAGGGGUCAGAGGGCCCUUCCUGGAGACAGGGAGCACUGGAAUGGGAGUAGGUGGGGGAAGCACUGGAGAAGGAGGUUGGUUUGAACAUGUUGAGCCUGACUCAUCCACAUGGAGAUGUCAGAAGGCAGUAGGAGUUUUGGCUCUUAGGCUCAGAGGAAAUGUCUGGCUGUGGGUGGAGAUGGAAGUACCAGGGAGAGAGAGCAGUGGGCUCUAGGAUGCCAGGCAUGUCCACAGCCGGGGUGAGAACACUGGUCACCACUCAGGAUGCAGAGUUAACUAAAGCAGAAAGCUGCUGCCUUGGUCCCUGCUCCUCGGACCCUGGCUUCCAGACCAGGGCACUCAGGUGGACACCUGCCUGCAGGUUUGUGCCAUCUCUCUGGAGGGAGGCUGAAGCCAUCACCCUCCGCAGGCUCAAGUAAAUGGCUUCCCGUCCCAGCCUUGGAAGAAACAGGGAGCAGAUGACCUGAAACCAUCAGUGUCUGCUGGCCCCAUAGGCACUCCCCCAGCCCAGGCAGAGGCAGAGAGGGAAAUGUUAAAGUCACCCACGCAAACACUAGUUUUCCCAUCCUUACCUCAAGUUUCUGUUUCAUAGGUUUUCUCUGUGCAAAUGAAACCUUAAGCUUACUGUGAAUAUUAAAACAAUGAAUUUCACCCAGCAAAUGGAGACAGCGAAAUGGCUGAAGUUGUACAGAAUCCAAUUACCAAGAGCAGUUAAAUUGUCCAAAUCUCGGUCUGGGGGUGUUCGUAUGACAUAGAUACUCUUGCAUAUUUCAAUGUCUAUUUAAAGAAAGGGUGCCCAGGCUCCAUUAGUGUGGAGAGAGGCUCCUGGAAGCCACAUUAUUUCUCAUCAUUAAAGUCAGUCCGAGUUUUCCAACAAAAAGGAGGAUAAAUGAAUCGGACCUGGCAGGCCCGGCAGCCAGCUCCUCAGCCCAGUAAUCGCUCCCUUAUUGUUCUUUCCCAUUAAAAUGAUGAUAAAACAAA